AUUGAACGCUGGCGGCAGGCCUAACACAUGCAAGUCGAACGAGUGGCGGACGUGUGAGUAAUUUCUGGGAAACUGCCUGAUGUAGGGGGAUAACUCCUGGAAACGGUAGCUAAUACCGCAUACCAUCAGAUGUUCCCAGAUGGGAUUCGCUUGUUGGGGGGGUAACGGCUCACCAAGGCGACGAUCCCUAGCUGGUCUGAGAGGAUGACCAGCCACACUGGAACUGAGAAACGGUCCAGAGUACUCCGGGAGGAAGCAGUGGGGAAUAUUGCAAAAUGGGCGCAAGCCGGAUGCAGCCAUGCCGCGGGUAUGAAGAAGGCCUUCGGGUUGUAAAGUACUUUAAGCGGGGAGGCGUUACCCGCAGAAGAAGCACCGGCUAACUCCGUGCCAGCCGCCGCGGUAAUUC
rnacentral:rRNA from 1 species